AGCACGGUCACGCCAUGCAGUGUCGAAU
rnacentral:piRNA from 1 species